rnacentral:rRNA from 1 species
UCUUGAACCCGGCAGGGGCAAUCGGAACUCUAGGUGGAGCGGUGAAAUGCGUAGAUAUCUAGAGGAACGCCAAAGGCGAAGGCAGAUUGCUGGGCCGGUGUUGACGCUCAGGCACGAAAGCGUGGGUAGCGAACGGGAUUAGAUACCCCGGUAGUCCACGCCCUAAACGAUGUGUACUAGAUCGAGGAGGUUUUGACGCCAUCUCGGUCGGAGCAAAAGUAUUAAGUACACCGCCUGGGGAGUACGGUCGCAAGGCUAAAACUCAAAGGAAUUGACGGGGGCUCACACAAGCGGUGGAGCAUGUGGCUUAAUUCGAAGCAACGCGAAGAACCUUAUCCAGGGCUUGACAUGCACGGAUUAGCUUCCUGAAAGGGAAGUGACGCCUCGGUGGAACGUGCACAGGUGCUGCAUGGCUGUCGUCAGCUCGUGCUGUGAAGUGUCGGGUUAAGUCCCUUAACGAGCGAAACCCUUGCCGCUAGUUGCUACCAGGUAAUGCUGAGGACUCUAGCGGGACUGCCGGUGUCAAACCGGAGGAAGGUGGGGAUGACGUCAAGUCCUCAUGGCCUUUAUGCCCUGGGCUGCACACGUGCUACAAUGGUACGGACAAAGCGACGCGAUGCCGCAAGGUGGAGCAAAUCGCAUAAACCGUGCCCCAGUUCGGAUUGAGGUC